GUGUGAAGGCAGCACAAACACUACAAUUGGAAUGGUACAGAGAAAAUUAUCAUGGCCCUAUACAAAAAUUACAUACAAAUUUAUGAAGUGUUCUUUUUUUUU
ensembl:snRNA U6 U6 spliceosomal RNA